rnacentral:rRNA from 1 species
CCUACGGGCGGCAGCAGUAGGGAAUCUUCCACAAUGGGCGAAAGCCUGAUGGAGCAACGCCGCGUGGGUGAAGAAGGUCUUCGGAUCGUAAAACCCUGUUGUUAGAGAAGAAAGUGCGUGAGAGUAACUGUUCACGUUUCGACGGUAUCUAACCAGAAAGCCACGGCUAACUAAGUGCCAGCAGCCGCGGUAAUACGUAGGUGGCAAGCGUUAUCCGGAUUGAUUGGGCGUAAAGGGAACGCAGGCGGUCUUUUAAGUCUGAUGUGAAAGCCUUCGGCUUAACCGGAGUAGUGCAUUGGAAACUGGGAGACUUGAGUGCAGAAGAGGAGAGUGGAACUCCAUGUGUAGCGGUGAAAUGCGUAGAUAUAUGGAAGAACACCAGUGGCGAAAGCGGCUCUCUGGUCUGUAACUGACGCUGAGGUUCGAAAGCGUGGGUAGCAAACAGGAUUAGAUACCCCAGUAGUC